rnacentral:rRNA from 1 species
GAGUUUGAUCAUGGCUCAGGAUGAACGCUAGCGAUAGGCUUAACACAUGCAAGUCGAGGGGCAGCAUAGAAUCAGCCUGCUGAUUUGGAUGGCGACCGGCGGAUGGGUGCGUAACGCGUAUGCAACUUACCUGUCAGAGGGGGAUAACCCGGAGAAAUUCGGACUAAUACCGCAUAUACUUGAGAUGCUGCAUGGUGUUUCAAGGAAAUAUUUAUAGCUGACAGAUAGGCAUGCGUUCCAUUAGCUGGUAGGUGAGGUAACGGCUCACCUAGGCGACGAUGGAUAGGGGAACUGAGAGGUUAAACCCCCACACUGGUACUGAGACACGGACCAGACUCCUACGGGAGGCAGCAGUGAGGAAUAUUGGUCAAUGGGCGAGAGCCUGAACCAGCCAAUUCGCGUGAAGGAUGACUGCCCUAUGGGUUGUAAACUUCUUUAGUAGGGGAUUAAAGUUUGCCUUGCGAGGCA